GACGAACGCUGGCGGCGUGCUUAACACAUGCAAGUCGAACGGAAAGGCCCUGCUUUUGUGGGGUGCUCGAGUGGCGAACGGGUGAGUAACACGUGAGUAACCUGCCCUUGACUUUGGGAUAACUUCAGGAAACUGGGGCUAAUACCGGAUAGGAGCUCCUGCUGCAUGGUGGGGGUUGGAAAGUUUCGGCGGUUGGGGAUGGACUCGCGGCUUAUGAGCUUGUUGGUGGGGUAGUGGCUUACCAAGGCUUUGACGGGUAGCCGGCCUGAGAGGGUGACCGGCCACAUUGGGACUGCGAUACGGACCAGACUCCUACGGGAGGCAACAGUGGGGAAUAUUGCACAAUGGGCGGAAGCCUGAUGCAGCAACGCCGCGUGCGGGAUGACGGCCUUCGGGUUGUAAACCGCUUUCGCCUGUGACGAAGCGUGAGUGACGGUAAUGGGUAAAGAAGCACCGGCUAACUACGUG
rnacentral:rRNA from 1 species